rnacentral:rRNA from 1 species
UACGUAGGGGGCAAGCGUUGUCCGGAUUUAUUGGGCGUAAAGGGCGCGUAGGCGGCCCGGUAAGUCAAAGGUGAAAUCCCUCGGCUCAACUGAGGAACUGCCUUUGAAACUGUCGGGCUUGAGGCCGGGAGGGGGUAGCGGAAUUCCCAGUGUAGCGGUGAAAUGCGUAGAUACUGGGAGGAACACCAGUGGCGAAGGCGGCUACCUGGACCGGUUCUGACGCUGAUGCGCGAAAGCGUGGGUAGCAAACAGG